rnacentral:rRNA from 1 species
AACCCUCGGGAUUGUAAUUUGAAGAUUUGGCAUUGGAGAAAGCUAACCCAAGUUGCUUGGAAUAGUACGUCAUAGAGGGUGACAACCCCGUCUGGCUAACCGUUCUCCAUGUAUUGCCUUAUCAAAGAGUCGAGUUGUUUGGGAAUGCAGCUCAAAGUGGGUGGUAAACUCCAUCUAAAGCUAAAUACUGGUGAGAGACCGAUAGCGAACAAGUACUGUGAAGGAAAGGUGAAAAGAACUUUGAAAAGAGAGUGAAAUAGUAUGUGAAAUUGUUGAUAGGGAAGGAAAUGAGUGGAGAGUGGCCGAGGUUUCAGCCGCCCCUCGUGGGCGGUGUACUGCCGACGCCGAGUCAUCGAUAGCGAGACGAGGGUUACAAAUGGGAGCGCCUUCGGGCGUUCUCCCCUAACCCUCCACACUGCCACCGACGACAUAAUCCACCCAUUUCACCCGUCUUGAAAC